UGCGCCCGAGCCACUAGGCCGAGGGCACGUCUGCCUGGGCGUCA
rnacentral:rRNA from 1 species